rnacentral:rRNA from 1 species
UACAGAGGUCCCGAGCGUUGUUCGGAUUCAUUGGGCGUAAAGGGUGCGUAGGCGGCGGGGCAAGUCUGAUGUGAAAUCCCGGGGCUCAACCCCGGAGCUGCAUUGGAUACUGCCUUGCUCGAGUACUGGAGAGGGAACUGGAAUUUACGGUGUAGCAGUGAAAUGCGUAGAGAUCGUAAGGAAGGCCAGUGGCGAAGGCGAGUUCCUGGACAGUUACUGACGCUGAGGCACGAAGGCCAGGGGAGCAAACGGG